UUUAAAUAGCUGCAGUAAUUUAACUGUACAAAGGUAGCAUAAUAAUUAGUCUUUUAAUUGAGGUCUAGAAUGAACGGCUUAACAAAAUAAUAUCUUUAUUUUUUUAAUAAAAUUGAAUUUAAUAUUUUAGUUAAAAAGCUAAAAUUUUUAAUUGGGACGAUAAGACCCUAUAGAUCUUUAAUUUUUUGAAAUUAAGUUUUUUUUGGUUAAUUUAUAAAAAUUAAAUUUAUAAAAUUUUUGUUGGGGUGACAUUUAAAAUUUUAAAACUUUAAAUUAUUUUUUCAUUAAUAAAUGUAUAUUUGAUCUUAAAUUUUAGAUUAUAAAAUUAAGAUACCUUAGGGAUAACAGCAUAAUAAACUUGAAUAGUUCAUAUUGAUAAGUUUGUUUAUGACCUCGAUGUUGAAUUAAUUAAAUAAUUUUAGAGUAGAAGCUAAAAGUUAGGGUCUGUUCGACCUUUAAAAUUUUACG
rnacentral:rRNA from 1 species